AAAGUACUCCCUCCGUCCCAAAAUUCUUGUCUUAGAUUUGUCUAUAUAUGGAUGUAUCAAGUCACAUUUUAGUAUUAGAUACAUUCGUAUCUAGACAAAUCUAAGACAAGAAAUUUGGGAUAGAGGGAGUAGUUG
rnacentral:pre_miRNA from 1 species